CCUACGGGAGGCAGCAGUGAGGAAUAUUGGUCAAUGGCCGUAAGGCUGAACCAGCCAAGUCGCGUGAAGGAAGAAGGAUCUAUGGUUUGUAAACUUCUUUUAUAGGGGAAUAAAGGUAUCCACGUGUGGUUAUUUGCAUGUACCCUAUGAAUAAGCAUCGGCUAACUCCGUGCCAGCAGCCGCGGUAAUACGGAGGAUGCGAGCGUUAUCCGGAUUUAUUGGGUUUAAAGGGUGCGUAGGUUGUUUUUUAAGUCAGCGGUGAAAGUGUGUGGCUCAACCAUAAAAUUGCCGUUGAAACUGGGAGACUUGAGUGUGGUUGAGGUAGGCGGAAUGCGUGGUGUAGCGGUGAAAUGCAUAGAUAUCACGCAGAACUCCGAUUGCGAAGGCAGCUUACUAAGCCAUAACUGACACUGAAGCACGAAAGCGUGGGGAUCAAACAGGAUUAGAUACCCGAGUAGUC
rnacentral:rRNA from 1 species